AUUGAACGCUGGCGGCAUGCUUUACACAUGCAAGUCGAACGGUAACAGGCCGCAAGGUGCUGACGAGUGGCGAACGGGUGCGUAAUGCAUCGGAACGUGCCCAGUCGUGGGGGAUAACUACUCGAAAGAGUAGCUAAUACCGCAUACGAUCUAUGGAUGAAAGCGGGGGACCGUAAGGCCUCGCGCGAUUGGAGCGGCCGAUGUCAGAUUAGGUAGUUGGUGGGGUAAAGGCUCACCAAGCCAACGAUCUGUAGCUGGUCUGAGAGGACGACCAGCCACACUGGGACUGAGACACGGCCCAGACUCCUACGGGAGGCAGCAGUGGGGAAUUUUGGACAAUGGGCGCAAGCCUGAUCCAGCAAUGCCGCGUGCAGGAAGAGGGCCUUCGGGUUGUAAACUGCUUUUGUACGGAACGAAACGGCUCUGGUUAAUACCCGGGGCUAAUGACGGUACCGGAAGAAUAAGCACCGGCUAACUACGUG
rnacentral:rRNA from 1 species